AGUAACACGUGGGUGACCGACCGCACCGUGGGGAAUAACUGCCCGAAAGGGUGGCUAAGACCGCAUACGUACCAGAGGGAUGCCUGUGGUGGAAAGGUCUCAGGGAACUGAGGUCGCGGUGUGCCGGGCCCGCGCCCGAUUAGCUAGUUGGGGGGGUAAUGGCCUCCCAAGGCUCCGAUCGGUAGCUGGUCUGAGAGGAUGAUCAGCCAGACUGGGACUGAGACACGGCCCAG
rnacentral:rRNA from 1 species